rnacentral:lncRNA from 1 species
CCAAUUACUUUCUCUAGAUAAAAUUGUUCUAUCAUUAUUAUUUAUGUUUAAGUCACUUAUUAAUUCUUCAUCUUGGUUUCUCGACCUAGUGGAUCUAUUUCUCCUAAACAUACUCAUUUCUAAAAUCUUAGGGUUUGCUCAUACACUUCCUUCUCGCACAUCUGCAGGUCUUACUCUCUUCUGCCUGACUUAUGAAUCUAGCAAGGACACAGAUUCAACCCUAAUUUUCUAU